UACGUAGGUGGCAAGCGUUACUCGGAAUCACUAGGCGUAGAGCGCAGGUAGGCGGUUUGAUAAGUCUGUUGUGAAAGCUCCCGGCUCAACUGGGAGAGGCCAACGGAAACUGUCAAGCUUGAGUGUGGUAGAGGAAACUGGAAUUCCUGGUGCAGCGGUGAAAUGCGUAGAUAUCAGGAGGAACACCUAUGGCGAAAGCAGGUUUCUGGGCCAUCACUGACGCUGAGCUGCGAAAGCUAGGGGAGCAAACAGG
rnacentral:rRNA from 1 species